UUUACCUCAAAAUAGCUGGAAUGCGUAAUAAAGCUGUUAUAUUCGAUAAAGCAUUGUGGGACGAAACGUUUUCAAUUUAUUCUCAAAAUUUCAAUGAGUAUGACGUCUUGCUUGCUUGAAUGAAGCGUGGAAAUGAAUGUUUACACAAUGUAGGCCAUUUUUGGUAAGCAGAAUUGGCGCUGUGAGAUGAACCA
rnacentral:ncRNA from 1 species